rnacentral:rRNA from 1 species
UACGGAGGGUGCAAGCGUUAUCCGGAUUCACUGGGUUGAAAGGGUGCGUAGGUGGGCAAGUAAGUCAGUGGUGAAAUCUCCGGGCUUAACCCGGAAACUGCCAUUGAUACUAUUUGUCUUGAAUACUGUGGAGGUCAGCGGAAUAUGUCAUGUAGCGGUGAAAUGCUUAGAUAUGACAUAGAACACCAAUUGCGAAGGCAGCUGGCUACACAAAUAUUGACACUGAGGCACGAAAGCGUGGGGAUCAAACAGG